CCUUGUUUGAUCCUGGCUCAGGACGAACGCUGGCGGCGUGCUUAACACAUGCAAGUCACGGGGGUUUGGUAGCAAUACCAAGCAACCGGCGAACGGGUGCGUAACACGUGAGCAAGCUUCCGAUUUGUGGGGGAUAGCCGGCCCAACGGCCGGGUAAUACCGCAUACGUUCACUAGGCGGCAUCGUCUGGUGAGGAAACCUCCGGGGCAAAUCGAGGCGCUCGCGGCCUAUCAGCUAGUUGGCGGGGUAACGGCCCACCAAGGCGACGACGGGUAGCUGGUCUGAGAGGAUGGCCAGCCACAUUGGGACUGCGACACGGCCCAGACUCCUACGGGAGGCAGCAGUGGGGAAUAUUGCGCAAUGGACGAAAGUCUGACGCAGCGACGCCGCGUGUGGGAUGAAGCUCUUCGGGGUGUAAACCACUGUUGCCCGGGACGAAACUCCUUUUUCGAAAGGACUGACGGUACCGGGUGAGGAAGCACCGGCUAACUUUGUGCCAGCAGCCGCGGUAAUACAGAGGGUGCGAGCGUUGUCCGGAAUCACUGGGCGUAAAGGGCGCGUAGGUGGCUUGGUAAGCGUGUGGUGAAAGUCCGGGGCUCAACCCCGGAUCUGCCGUGCGAACUGCUGAGCUUGAGCAAUGUAGAGGCAGGUGGAAUUUCGGGUGUAGCGGUGGAAUGCGUAGAUAUCCGAAAGAACACCAGUGGCGAAGGCGGCCUGCUGGGCAUUUGCUGACACUGAGGCGCGACAGCGUGGGAGCAAACAGGAUUAGAUACCCUGGUAGUCCACGCCGUAAACGAUGGGUACUAGGUGUCUGGGGGAGCGACCCCCUGGGUGCCGUCGCUAACGCAUGAAGUACCCCGCCUGGGGAGUACGGCCGCAAGGCUGAACUCAAAGGAAUUGACGGGGCCCGCACAAGCGGUGGAGCAUGUGGUUUAAUUCGACGCACGCGAAGAAC
rnacentral:rRNA from 1 species